rnacentral:lncRNA from 1 species
CCUCGAUUACAGUUGGACCGUCCAAUUCAAUGCACCCUGAUAUUUAUCGUGAAAUGGGAGCCACCUCCUAGAGAUUCUGUUCAGAGAAAUAGCAUGAGAGGUUUUUGUCCAUGUGUGCUAACCCCACUCGUUAAAAAUAAUAAAAUAAAAGAACGAAAGAAGGGAAGAAAAGAUUGUCCGUUUAUUUACCCCACCUCCCACGUGAUUGAAGCACCGGAGAUUAUUUUAAUAUAUUGGUGUUACAAUGAUUAUCGUGAGCAUCUUAGAUCGGUACUGGAUCACGGGAUAUUUCAAGUUCUCGAAUCGUUAAUAUAAUCGCGGACCAUCGUAUGAGCUGAGGAGUCCAUCUCUCUGCUGAGCUGAGGUGUACGCGAGGUCUAACCUGAGUUACCUCAGCCGACUUAUCCCUUCAUCAUGUACGACAGCUGUCCAUUCCGAAUAGAUAAGAUCC